AGGAAGAUGGAGAACAAGCAUCCUGGACACAAAGCCUAACUUUAGCUUUUUUUGUCACCAUAGGAGGAGGGAUCAGCCCUCAUGUCUGGCUUUCAUGUAAGGUACCCCAUCUACCAGAGCUAAGGGUAAAGCUGUGCCAGCAUUCAGGAAGGAAUUAAAAAUUCUCAGGAUGACAAUUGCUGUCUUGUGCUGUCAAACCAUGGUUCAAGAACUCAUUGAGGGUGUGAAAAAUUCGGAUUCUGGUCUAACCUCCACCAGUGGAUAGGGUGUUUUCAUAGAAUCAAAGAAUCAUUGAAUGGUUUGGGUUGGAAGGGGGCUUAAAAAUGGGGAGUUGCAUUUAACAAGGUUAAUGCAUAAUAGGCCAAGGAGGGGACAGUUUUCAGGGUUCUCCUUUUCUGUCUGCCUAACUAGAGGAAGCAACUACACAAAAGCAGUUUCCUGGGCUUGGCAGUUCCUGAGGGGUUUUUUUUCUGAAGAACAGAAUCAUGUUAGUGGAAAACAGAGAGCACACAGAGCAAGUCACAGGGCCUGGAGCAUCCCUCAAACAGGGAAAACUCUAAUCCAGGUCUUCCACCCACUCAGGCAUUGUGCUAACACUCCAUUUCUGUGUGAAAGUGUCCCAGCUGGCACAGUGAGGAUGGUCCUUCCAGUCUGCCACUGACCCUCAGCCUCUUGACAAGUGUUUAACAGAGCACUGAAAUGCAAAUCCUCUGCGAGGCCACUGCCCACCUCAGUGGCAGUGCUUGUUACAGCUAUAAAAUGGGAUUGGGGCCAAAGUGUGAUGUGAUCUGGCAAGUGUAGCCUGCAGGAGAGUGCCCUGUGGAGCGCUGGGUUCCAGAAGCAGAUCCUGGCCUUUCCUACAGGACACUUUAUGAGAGCACAUCCCCAGAUUUAUGCAAGCCUGGCUUUGAACAUUUCCUUAAGGUUUGCUUUCUGUUUUUAGAAAUAAAACCAAGAUUAAGUCAGUCAGAGGUGACAAAGGUCUGUUUCACACCUUGCACAUGGAUUUGGGUAGAAUCUCAGUUUGGAAAGCAAACGGGUCACUUUAGCUUUCCUAAGAAAGUUGCUGUGACUCAGACUGCUGCCUUCUGGACAAUUAUGACCUAAAUGUGACUAAAAUGCUCCUAAUCUUGGCAGUGGCCUGUGUAAAACUGUAAAAAAGACACUGGUAAAAUGCCCAUUUACCUACUGUGGUCACCAGCUGACAUCAGUCCUCCUAGUGAUGUCAUGAUCAAAUAUUUCCUGGUGUUCAAGAGAAUAAAUACCCAGCAAGGUCUAAAAGCCCCUGUCAUGGUUUAGGCCUGAAGAAUAUUUUCACAGCACCAAGGUUAGAAAUAGUAAAAUAAUGAUUCAUUUCUGCUCUUUUGGCAGCCUGAUGCUCUUCCAGCUGAGCUCUGAUUCUCAAUGUAUGAUUUUAUUCCCAUCAGCAAAGGGCAUGACAUCUUAUUUCAGUCCCUGGGGAAGUGCUCAGGAGAAAAAUAUGGCUCGUUUUAACUGUUUGGGAAACACCACCAUAGUUCCUAACAGGAAAAGGAAAAGGCAGGCUUAAAGUUCUGAGAAUUCUCUACAUUUUGGAUUCCAGCAGUGCUGACCAUGGGGUUUUUUAUGGAGCUGAUGCGGAGCACAGCUGGAUCUUGUUUAGUCACGUAAGAGAGUGCAUAGGAAGGGACAUGAGGGAGAUUUGGAGUCUUCUCUCCCUCACUGGAAUGGUUGUUGUGAUAUUCUGAGCACCACAAUUGAUGGAGUGCCAGUGCACGUUCCAAUAAACCUCAACACUCUUUGCCAAAUGCAAAGCCUGAUCCUUAAUACUCAAAAUAUUCCUGCUUGUAGGGACCCAACAGCAUCUCCACAAGGUGGCCACUGUCUUACAGAAGUCUGGAAUUGCAGCCUGUUUCUCUUCCCUGGCUACAUUAGAAAAGAAUUGGCACUCUGCAAAAGCCUCCUGCAGGAAAACACAAACAUCGUGAGUUACGCUGAGCUGCUUUUCUCCCAGUGACCUACAAAGAAAAAAAAUGCUUUUCUAUGUAGAAUAUUUAUUUGUUUUUCUAUGUUGAAUAACAACAGAAGAUAGCAAAUAUUUUGCCCGUUUUCAGAAAAAAGAAAUCAUCAUUUUGUGUAACUUCCAUUUUUAGGUUCAAGCAUGGACAUGAUUGACACGUGUUGAAUUAAUGUACUGCCAGAUUUUCAGUGGUAAAGAAGCAGUAAAAUAGAAAUUAUAGUCUGCUGGUUUUAAACAUGUGCUUUUGUUACCAAAAAAAAAAUAGUUUCAAUUUCAUUAUAAAGCAAAUAUUUGUAUAUUUGAGACUUGAAGCUGAAUGGAAAUCGGAUUAGUCCUGGUUUGGCCAGAAGUUACCUGUAACUUUUUCCUGAUGUAAAAGGUUUUCCUCUUUCCUCUUGGCAACAUUCAGAAUACUGCAGGCCUACCAUUUAUGGCAAAGACUUGUGUUUAUUGCUCAGGAUUAAGAACACACUGCAGAUAAAUGCACACAAUUCUUUUAAUUCUAAUAAUACACUUGAAUGAGAACCAGGAAUUGUGUUGGCCUUAAAGUCCAUUUUGAGAGUUUCCAAGAAUUCUUAAUUAGACCUUUAAAAUAUCCCAUAAAAUGUCUCCUUCUUCACAUCAUUCUUUUAUUGUCAAGAAAUAAAGUUGGCAGAUCUCAAGAAAUCUGAAAAUUUUUAUUUACAGGUUUUUCAAAAUUAAUUUUUAAUUACAAAAAAACCUCAAUCCCUUAACAUUCUUCUCUUAUCUCAAAAGCAAUCAAAAGGAACAAACUAAUGGAGUAACUUCAGAGCAUUUAUUACUCACUGGGAGAUACUGUACCAGACAGUCCAUGGCACCUAAAAUAAUUAUCAAGCGUUUAUUAUAUUAUUACUGCCACUUGCCCUGGCAGAGAAAUCACAUGACUUAAGAAGAAACUCUGGAGUAAGACAGAAAAUGUUGGAUAAUAACAGGUUGAAGUCUUGUUCCCAUCAGGUCAAAGACAAGAAUUCUUGCUGAUUUCAGUAGUCUUGGUGGGACUUAAAUAUUUUGCCAGAGUCCCUCUGCCUGAUAGAGCUUUGGGUUUAUUUUUAAUCAAACUGUGGUAUCAGAAAUUAGAUCAAGGAGCUGAUAAGUUCUCUUGCUGAUACUCCCAUCUCCAUUCCCCACAGCAGGUGCUUGCCUGGGCAGAGUGGGUCACUUUAGGAGUCUUUUCUAAGAAAAUUCUCCUUUUUUCUUUGUCACAGCCUUCCCCAGAAGUGGCACUGUCCUGAGCUGCAGCUUCAGCUCCACGGCAUUUCAGCCAGGAGAUACUGGGGCCGAGGAUUGCUCACCUUAUACUUCAGUAACACAGAUGCAGAGACCAGUGAUUUUUGAUAAAUACUACACAGGGAGCAGCUAGACAUGAAUAUCUUUAUUUAAAUUCAAUGUAGCUGCUGCUUGUUCCUUGGUGGAAACAGCUCUUUCUCUAACAGCAGCGCUUAGGGGUUCACCAAAACCAGAAAAAAACCCCAAGAAACAACUCAGAGGAGGGGAAAAGUCACCACCAUGAGUUCUAAAUAGCUGUAGUGUAACAUCUAGAUGUUUGAGUGUGUACGGAAAUUUGAGUUUAUCUUUCCAAGGCGUUUUCCUUACCACAAGAUGUCACUGUUUUUUGUUUCUUUCCUCCCAUCUGACACUGUCCACAGUCCUCUUGAGUUCCACAAUGCUCUCUAAAGGGAAAACGAUCAGAUCUCACAAAGGCGAAUAUUUCGUGUUAUUUUCACCAUUUGCUGUCUUUAUGCUAGAUUUGAAAAACCUGCUGUUUUGUGGCUUUCAGUGUUUAUUUACUGCCUAUGUUCUUUUCCUUUCAGACUGUAAAAUGUUUCACAGCCCACCACUUCACUUUUGAAUUUUCAUUCUCAAGCCAGCUUAGGCUUACUUUGGGUCCACUAAAUAAGAAAAAUGUUUUAGAUGUGAGACUAAUCCAGAUAUUCUGCUAAAUCUGGAGGGCUCUGUCAAGAUUUGAAGGGUUUGAGUUCUAAAUUCCUGAUGAAAUCAGGCACAUAAGUUUCUAGACAGCAUUUAACAUGCUUCUACUACAAUAAAGCUUAUUUUAGACUGGACAUCAGGAUAAGGUUUUAUUGCAUAAAAUUAUAAAUAUGACAGUGUUGAGUAGGUAAAUGUUCUCAUAACAGACUUGUACUGUCUUCAAA